AUUACCAGAUCGACGCUCUACCAACUGAGCUACACGGUCAGGCGGAUUAAAGACUGGAAAUUAUGAAAUAAAUCUUAAAUCCGUCUGACCGUGUAGCUCAGUUGGUAGAGCGUCGAUCUAGUAAU